CGGGCAGCGGCGCUGGCCCGGCGGAGGCGCGGGCAGGGAUGAGGCGGAGGCAGCGGCCCCCGCGCUCCCGCCGCCGCUGAGCCCGCUCCCGCCCCGUCCCGCCCGGGCCUCGCUGCCCGCUCCCCCCGCUCCUCUCCCCUCGCUCCAGCCUGCCCUCCCCCCUCCAUGCGGCGGGAGCGGCCGGAGUGGGGCCCGUGCCGCGGCCGCGCCGAGCCCCGCCGCCUCUCGACUCUCCGCCGCCAGCCGCCGCAGGGAGCCGCAGGCGGCGUCUGCAGCGACAACAGCGGGAACUUCAUGUUGGCGUUGUUUAUGCCAGAACAUAGUAAGCAAGGCAUAGCUCCAGACUUGUGUAAACUUUUAUCUAGCCAACACGACGCAAUUGAGUAUGAAUUCCAGGUUGCUCUGGAAAUGAAAGAGAAGUUCUGAGCUCUCUGGCUGGAAGCUGAACGUGAUGACGGCCUGGUCUAUGGUAGGGAAGCUGAAAAUGGAGAAGAGGCACUCCAGAGAAGACAGAAACGUGGAACAAGAUGCUGGGGAAUGCAGUGCUGAAUCCGAGGAAUGGACGAGCUCAGAAAGUGAACCUGAGCAACCAUACUUCAGAAGAAGCUGUAGCAAUAUUCAGUGGAGAGAAAAGGAGGUUUCCACUAAACCACAUCGGCCACUCUGUCGCUCCCCGUGUUUGGAUCGCCCAAGUUUUUCACAGAGCAGUAUCACACAAGACCUGAAGCUAGAUGAAUGCAAAACAAGUUUGGACAAGGAAUAUCAAGCUAAAAUGGAUUUUGCUUUAAAACUUGGUUAUGCAGGAGAUCAGAUCCAGGCUGUACUGAAUAAAUUGGGAGCAGAUGCGCUCAUCAAUGAUGUUCUGGCCGAACUUGUGAGACUUGGCAACAAAAAUGAAUCAGAGGGACAGAACAGUGCCAGCAGUACCACUAGCACUCUGGUGCCAAGAGGCCCUUGUCCAAAGGAAAUAGCAAGCCCUGAAUUGUCACUUGAAGAUGAAGUUUUGGAUAACAGUGAUAACUUGAGGCCAAUCGUCAUUGAUGGAAGUAAUGUGGCUAUGAGCCAUGGAAAUAAGGAAGGAUUUUCCUGUCGGGGAAUCCAACUAGCUGUUGAUUGGUUUCUGGAAAAAGGACAUAAAGAUAUCACUGUGUUUGUACCUGCAUGGAGAAAAGAACAGUCUCGACCUGAUGCACCAAUUACAGAUCAAGAAAUCUUACGUAAAUUGGAGAAAGAAAAAAUUCUUGUUUUCACCCCAUCUCGAAGAGUUCAAGGAAGAAGAGUAGUUUGCUAUGAUGACCGAUUCAUAGUAAAACUUGCUUUUGACUCAGAUGGCAUCAUUGUAUCAAAUGACAACUAUAGGGAUCUUCAAAACGAAAAACCAGAGUGGAAGAAGUUCAUAGAGGAGCGACUGCUAAUGUAUUCUUUUGUGAAUGACAAAUUUAUGCCUCCUGAUGAUCCUUUAGGACGCCAUGGUCCAAGCCUUGAAAAUUUCUUAAGGAAAAGGCCAGUUAUUCCUGAACAUAAAAAACAACCGUGUCCUUAUGGUAAAAAGUGCACCUAUGGGCACAAAUGUAAAUAUUACCACCCAGAACGGGCAAACCAGCCUCAAAGGUCAGUAGCGGAUGAGCUUCGGAUAAGUGCCAAAUUAUCUGCUGUGAAAACUAUGAGUGAGGGAGCCUUGGCCAAAUGUGGCACAGGGCCAUCCAGCUCCAAAGGAGAGAGCAGUUCUGAAGUGAAACGCAUUGCCCCAAAACGCCAGUCAGAUCCAAGCAUUAGAUCAGUAGCUGUGGAGCCUGAGGAAAAGUUAACAGUAGCCCGCAAGUCCGAGGCCAGCUCUGUCCCGUCUCUGGUUUCUGCAUUAAGUGUACCAACGCUCCCUCCACCAAAAAGCCAUGCAGCUGGUGCAUUAAAUACUCGUUCUGCAAGCAGUCCGGUGCCAGGUUCCUCACAGUUCACGCAUCAGAAAUCCUCACUGGAACACAUGUCCAGUGUGCAAUAUCCUCCUAUACUAGUCACCAAUAGCCAUGGCACCUCAGUUAGUUAUACUGACCAGUAUCCCAAAUACGAAUCGUUAGGGGACCAUGGCUAUUAUUCCUUACUCAGUGAUUUCUCCAACUUGAGCGUAAGUAGUAUGCAUAACACAGAUUAUUACGGGGCUGAUACGGACCAGGGGAUGUAUUCUAGAAACUCAAGCCCCUGUCCUGACAAUUGCUUAAGCCAUACAAGUAAUGAUUCUUAUUCCUCUUACAAUGACUUGUAUCUGGGUGUAGCAGAUGCCAGUCCAGAAGACAAUGUGAAGAUCCACAGACUGCCAUCGCAAAAUCGUCUUCAGCCUUUUUCCCAUGGUUACCAUGAAGCCUUAAAUAGAGUUCAGAGUUACGGAACUGAAGAGCCUAAACAAUCCCUUCGCAAACAGUCAGUUUCCCACUUAGGCCUGCAUGCCCAGCAUCCAGUUGUUGGAGCACGGUCCAGUUGUCCAGGAGAAUACCCUGUGCCUCAAAAUAUUCAUCCAUCAACUGCACAACCAAGCCGUGCCUUGGUCAUGACAAGAAUGGACAGUAUUUCUGACUCACGGCUUUAUGAAAGUAAUCCUGCACGGCAGAGAAGACCACCUCUCUGUCGAGAACAGCAUGCUAGUUGGGAUCCGUUACCAUGUGCAUCAGACUCUUACACUUACCACUCGUAUCCAUUGAGUAACAACCUCAUCCAGCCAUGUUAUGAACCUGUAAUGGUAAGAAGCAUGCCUGAGAAGAUGGAGCAACUCUGGCGGAAUCCAUGGAUUGGGAAUUGCCUGUCAACUGUGCAGUGAACAGCUGCUGUUCCAGAUGAUUAGAGAAGACAAAAGAAAAUUGUCAGUUUUAUGUAAAUUGGAUUACUCAGACUCAAGCAACAGGAACUGAAUGUUAAUGUGGAAGCUCAUCAGUAACUAAGCCCUUCUGGAGGCAAGAAUGGUAUUUGGGUGAAACUAACAUGCAAGAUCUUGAGAAGGGAGUGUGAGAGGCUGGUUCUUGAAAAGAGAUGCUACAGUUCGGGCUUGUAGCAAGGUUGGCCUCGUUUUGCUCUUCAGCUCCACGCAAAGGUGUGCAUUUGCCUCAUGAUGGUUUCUAGAGUCCUGUUUCAACAGGCUAUAAAGCUCCAAAUACAGUUAGGUUAAAAGAAGUUGCACAAAGAAAUGAAACCCACAACUUAAACAUUCCCAUGUUUGCUCUCCAAGUAGCCAGAACUAGGUGCUCCAGAAGACAGCAUAAACUUGGCAGAGCAUUCUCCAAGUCGAGGAAGGGUCCAAAGUCAAGCUGAAAUCUAUAUACUUCCGCUAAGCCUUGAGACAGGUAGACUGAGCAUUUCCCUGUAACCGUGGCUGUUCUGUGUGACUCGCCGCUUCCUUUUAUCACCCAGGAAGGAAGGACCCCUUCUAAUUUGUUGUAAGCAAUGGAAUCGUAAGUCCUGGGAAGUAAAACCUGGAGAAUAUUACCUGAAAUAUGGUUAGUGCAAAAGGCCCCAGGACUGCAGAACAAAAGUACAUUCCCAGAAGAGAAAGAUAACAGCAGUAAUUAUAAUGAGCAGCUCUCAGAUUUGAAGAGAGUAAAAAAUGAAGGAGAUGAAUACAGAGGUCUGUGCUGCCUAUAUUCCCUCAGGUCAGAAGGAUGACUGUUACACCUUCAUGAAGUAACUUCCUACCACACUGAACGCUUAUCUCUGGAAUGCUUACUAGCUGCACAAUGAAGACCAGCUGACAGAAGACUUCAAAAGAUAAGACACUCCAGAGAGCCAGCGAUAAUUACACGUACUAUUUGAGACCCCUGAAAAUCCAUGCACAAGUGGUCAGCAGCAUGGAAUUAAGAUGCAACUAGUGACUAAGGCUCAGAAAGCCACCAUUUAUAUUUGUUUGAUAUCUUCAUUGUGGAAAAGAAACUAGAGAGAGUUCAUUACCUCAGUAACAAUUACGGAUAUGGGCAGAGAUGCACGCUUUGAAAGGCAUUUUGGCCAAGUAGCAUUCAGUGUGGAAGAGCUAUCCUUCCAUGCUAUUCUUUGAACUACAGUUAGUCUGACAACAUUGAAUUCUCCAGCUAAAGGACCCAUCUGCUACUAGGCUGGCUUAAUACAAGAGGGAAACUGAGGACACCCACCCAGGUAAGCUGAACUGAUGCUUGAAAGUAAAACACAACAAAAUGGACAAAAAUAAAAUUCCCACUGCCUCCAUAUACAGCCAUAUGCUUGAGUUAUUCCAUUCAUGUUUCCAUCUUCUAUCCAUGAGCUUUUCUAUCCAAGCAAAGAUACAGUGCUAAAGUAAACACUUCUCAGAAUAAACAGCCAUUUUCAGGCACUGAACUAAUUCCACAGAAACAACUGCUGAAGCCAUUAGCAUCACUGGAUUUGGAAUGGUAGUACCCGUAUCAAACAUGGCAUAUUUUGGUAUAGAAUGGGUGAGAAGAUUUGUCUCCUCCAAAAGGGAUGAUUUCCAAAUCUAAACAUGCAGGUAUGACUUAGAUCUGAUGUAUGUUUUUAUAGGUACAAACAGAAGCUGAAGAGCUGUGAGUGCAGAAGAAAACACACACACACCACGCCACUUUGUCACUAGUAGAUAAUGUGCUGGGAGAUCAGAAGGCAGGCAGCAGAAUGUAAUUUGUUUCUGAGAACAAAAUCAAGAAUUAAUCCUUCUCUUUUCUAGAAACUGUUCCAGGAUAAUUAUCAUUAUUCCUACAUGCAAUGACGGCUCAUCACCAACUAUUUAAGGCUAUAUCCAUGCAGACAGUAGCUUCAGUAGAGAGCCAUCUAAGUAGAAGAACGUGACUAAGAAAGGUCCACUGGGUAAGUUCUCUGAAGCAGACAGCAGAGGAUUCUUUGCAGUUAGCUCAUAGUGCUUUAGUGUUAAAGGAAUCUUCUGCCCUCUGAACAGUACAAAUUACAGGAUAUGUUGAUAGUGGAAACAAAAGGUUUUAUCCACAAAUGCAUAGGUAUUCUAAAUUAGAAAACUACUUUCGUAGGUCGCUUGACAUAUUCAAGAGAACUCAUAAGCUCUGUUAUCCCCGAGUCCAUAAUCCAAGUCUCCAAACGUAAUGAAGUCACAAAAUUGUCAAUACAUUCCACAUCAGCUUUCCUCCCUCCCCAGCUAGUCUAUUUCCCAGGAGUGAAAGAUCAAAAGAAAAAAAAAAAUCUCUCUUAAAUGAAAGCAAAAAGCUCUCAGGGUCUUUAAUUUAAACAUCUUCAGAAAUACAAGAGACUGCUGGAACAACUCCAUCUUCAGCUGAGAAGGAAAUCACCAUCAGUCAGUUCUCCAGAAAACUCUUCAGAAAUCUUCACAGAGGCCACUGAGGAACCACAAACCCAGCUGCAUUCA